AAGAGGACAACAGUGGAGCAGAUCAAGCAAGACAAGUCACCCUUGUCUGCUAAGAAAAACAAGGAGAAGCCAGCUGGCAAACUCUGUAGCAGAUCGCAGGUGAUGGGUGUAUCCUCUCGUCUAUGUCCAUUGUCAUACCUGAAAAUCAGUUUGUUGGAUACAAACUGCACCAGGAACAAUUUGGAGUCCCUUUCUGAACCAGAGGAAUGUUACUCCCUCCAAAAUGACAUAUUCAAUUGGAUAAGAACAUUAUCUAACAAAUACAGCUGGAGAACC